GACUCAGGUCCCUGCUGUGAGGGGGUGUUCGCCUCACACCAGCAGCUGGAAGAGGCCCAUUAACCAUCACAGUGGCCCCUGAAGAGAGCCCUGGGUAUUUAGAAACGCUAAUGGCAGAUGCCGCCCAGCUGAGGGGGAAGCUGGUUAAGGAGGAUAGAGAGGAAGUUUGUAGCAGCAGGAGGCGUGUUCAUAGUCACUCUCUGGUCUCUCCUCAGUGCUGAGCUGUGUUCGCUUUGCAGUCCCACUUUGCUACAUGUAACGAGCCCGCUGCUGCUGCUGGCUGGCUUCCAUCGAACUAUUGUCUUAACAAAGCCCAGCUCUCCCCCGUGGAUCGCAAAGCACUUUACAAAGGAGACCAGUGUGCUGCAGAAUUUAGGACCACACGCUGCUAAAACUGGAAAGGAUUGGUUUCUGCAGAAUUUAGAUUGCUUGCCAUGGGCUGCACAGAGAACUGGACGUAUGCUAUGAAGCAAGGAUAGAUUUCAGUGUUUUUGUGAAGUAUACCUAGCUGUACUUUAAGGAGAUUAUACUGGUCCUUGUGCUGCUGGAUUUGAGACAUUUGCUGCGUAACUGCUGUCUGAAGCUGUUCGUUCUGGGAUUUUAAAGUAUUAACUUUCUGCUUUAACUCUUCAAGCUGCUGAUCCUGUGAAAGAAAAGAAAAUUGGAAUUCUGCUUAAUUACUUGUGGAAAAUGAAUCAAUGGGGAGACAUGCUGCAAAGCAAUAAAAUCAAUGCAGUAGAGUCAAGAUAUUUACUCAACCUACAAAAGAUAUUUUGCAUGUGCAGCGCCUGUAUCUUGUGGACUGCUUAUCUGCGCAGGAACAGGCUUCAUCAGUCUCCUUUUCUACUGCAACAGUGAAGAAAAAUAAAGACAAUCCUAAAUAACACUAGUGUGAUGCCAGUGACCCAAGA